rnacentral:lncRNA from 1 species
AACAAAGUGAUGCAAGGAUCUAGUGCCAGUGCUUUAUUCAGGAGGUCUGACCUGCAUGAUGGGGAGAGAGGAGUCGUUGUGCACAGUGAUGGGCUGCUCUGUUGGCUCCUGCUUCCUCAUGUGCUUCGAGGGACACAGCUGGUCACCGGGCAGGAGCGUCCACACGCCACCUGGCACAGCUUGGACAGGAUUCCCUGAGAUGACUGCAGAGAACAAUCACAGGGAAGCAGAGGGCAUGUGUCUCCUCUCCUGCUCUGCUUCACUCCCUGGGUUUUGUUAGCUCACCCCUUGGAAUACUAUGCAGCCAUAAAAGAGAAUGAGAUCCUAACCUUUGCAGGA